rnacentral:rRNA from 1 species
GUCUUUUUGAGUUAUUUUUAAAGUCUGACCUGCCCACUGAAUUUUUUUAAAUGGCCGCAGUAUUCUAACUGUGCAAAGGUAGCAUAAUCAUUAGUCUUUUAAUUGAAGGCUGGUAUGAACGGUUGGACGAGGUAUAAGCUGUUUCAUGUAAAUUUAUAGUAGAAUUUUAUAUUUUAGUCAAAAAGCUAAAAUGUAAUUAAAAGACGAGAAGACCCUAUAAAUCUUUAUAUUUUAUGUAAUUUAAAUUUUUUUGAUUUUUUUUAUUUUUAUUAUAUCAAAUAUUUUGUUGGGGUGAUAUUAAAAUUUGAUGAACUUUUAAUUGUUUUAAGUCAUUGAUUUAUGAAUUAUUGAUCCAUUAGUAGUGAUUAUAAGAUUAAGUUACUUUAGGGAUAACAGCGUAAUUUUUUUGGAGAGUUCUUAUCGAUAAAAAAGUUUGCGACCUCGAUGUUGGAUUAAGAUAUAGAUUUAGGUGUAGUCGCUUAAAUACUGAGUCUGUUCGACUUUUAAAUUCUU